rnacentral:rRNA from 1 species
GGUUAAGCGACUAAGCGUACACGGUGGAUGCCCUGGCAGUCAGAGGCGAUGAAGGACGUGCUAAUCUGCGAUAAGCGUCGGUAAGGUGAUAUGAACCGUUAUAACCGGCGAUUUCCGAAUGGGGAAACCCAGUGUGAUUCGUCACACUAUCAUUAACUGAAUCCAUAGGUUAAUGAGGCGAACCGGGGGAACUGAAACAUCUAAGUACCCCGAGGAAAAGAAAUCAACCGAGAUUCCCCCAGUAGCGGCGAGCGAACGGGGAGCAGCCCAGAGCCUGAAUCAGUGUGUGUGUUAGUGGAAGCGUCUGGAAAGGCGCGCGAUACAGGGUGACAGCCCCGUACACAAAAAUGCACAUGCUGUGAGCUCGAUGAGUAGGGCGGGACACGUGGUAUCCUGUCUGAAUAUGGGGGGACCAUCCUCCAAGGCUAAAUACUCCUGACUGACCGAUAGUGAACCAGUACCGUGAGGGAAAGGCGAAAAGAACCCCGGCGAGGGGAGUGAAAAAGAACCUGAAACCGUGUACGUACAAGCAGUGGGAGCACGCUUAGGCGUGUGACUGCGUACCUUUUGUAUAAUGGGUCAGCGACUUAUAUUCUGUAGCAAGGUUAACCGAAUAGGGGAGCCGAAGGGAAACCGAGUCUUAACUGGGCGUUAAGUUGCAGGGUAUAGACCCGAAACCCGGUGAUCUAGCCAUGGGCAGGUUGAAGGUUGGGUAACACUAACUGGAGGACCGAACCGACUAAUGUUGAAAAAUUAGCGGAUGACUUGUGGCUGGGGGUGAAAGGCCAAUCAAACCGGGAGAUAGCUGGUUCUCCCCGAAAGCUAUUUAGGUAGCGCCUCGUGAAUUCAUCUCCGGGGGUAGAGCACUGUUUCGGCAAGGGGGUCAUCCCGACUUACCAACCCGAUGCAAACUACGAAUACCGGAGAAUGUUAUCACGGGAGACACACGGCGGGUGCUAACGUCCGUCGUGAAGAGGGAAACAACCCAGACCGCCAGCUAAGGUCCCAAAGUCAUGGUUAAGUGGGAAACGAUGUGGGAAGGCCCAGACAGCCAGGAUGUUGGCUUAGAAGCAGCCAUCAUUUAAAGAAAGCGUAAUAGCUCACUGGUCGAGUCGGCCUGCGCGGAAGAUGUAACGGGGCUAAACCAUGCACCGAAGCUGCGGCAGCGACGCUGAUGCGUUGUUGGGUAGGGGAGCGUUCUGUAAGCCUGCGAAGGUGUGCUGUGAGGCAUGCUGGAGGUAUCAGAAGUGCGAAUGCUGACAUAAGUAACGAUAAAGCGGGUGAAAAGCCCGCUCGCCGGAAGACCAAGGGUUCCUGUCCAACGUUAAUCGGGGCAGGGUGAGUCGACCCCUAAGGCGAGGCCGAAAGGCGUAGUCGAUGGGAAACAGGUUAAUAUUCCUGUACUUGGUGUUACUGCGAAGGGGGGACGGAGAAGGCUAUGUUGGCCGGGCGACGGUUGUCCCGGUUUAAGCGUGUAGGCUGGUUUUCCAGGCAAAUCCGGAAAAUCAAGGCUGAGGCGUGAUGACGAGGCACUACGGUGCUGAAGCAACAAAUGCCCUGCUUCCAGGAAAAGCCUCUAAGCAUCAGGUAACAUCAAAUCGUACCCCAAACCGACACAGGUGGUCAGGUAGAGAAUACCAAGGCGCUUGAGAGAACUCGGGUGAAGGAACUAGGCAAAAUGGUGCCGUAACUUCGGGAGAAGGCACGCUGAUAUGUAGGUGAAGUCCCUCGCGGAUGGAGCUGAAAUCAGUCGAAGAUACCAGCUGGCUGCAACUGUUUAUUAAAAACACAGCACUGUGCAAACACGAAAGUGGACGUAUACGGUGUGACGCCUGCCCGGUGCCGGAAGGUUAAUUGAUGGGGUUAGCGCAAGCGAAGCUCUUGAUCGAAGCCCCGGUAAACGGCGGCCGUAACUAUAACGGUCCUAAGGUAGCGAAAUUCCUUGUCGGGUAAGUUCCGACCUGCACGAAUGGCGUAAUGAUGGCCAGGCUGUCUCCACCCGAGACUCAGUGAAAUUGAACUCGCUGUGAAGAUGCAGUGUACCCGCGGCAAGACGGAAAGACCCCGUGAACCUUUACUAUAGCUUGACACUGAACAUUGAGCCUUGAUGUGUAGGAUAGGUGGGAGGCUUUGAAGUGUGGACGCCAGUCUGCAUGGAGCCGACCUUGAAAUACCACCCUUUAAUGUUUGAUGUUCUAACGUGGACCCGUAAUCCGGGUUGCGGACAGUGUCUGGUGGGUAGUUUGACUGGGGCGGUCUCCUCCUAAAGAGUAACGGAGGAGCACGAAGGUUGGCUAAUCCUGGUCGGACAUCAGGAGGUUAGUGCAAUGGCAUAAGCCAGCUUGACUGCGAGCGUGACGGCGCGAGCAGGUGCGAAAGCAGGUCAUAGUGAUCCGGUGGUUCUGAAUGGAAGGGCCAUCGCUCAACGGAUAAAAGGUACUCCGGGGAUAACAGGCUGAUACCGCCCAAGAGUUCAUAUCGACGGCGGUGUUUGGCACCUCGAUGUCGGCUCAUCACAUCCUGGGGCUGAAGUAGGUCCCAAGGGUAUGGCUGUUCGCCAUUUAAAGUGGUACGCGAGCUGGGUUUAGAACGUCGUGAGACAGUUCGGUCCCUAUCUGCCGUGGGCGCUGGAGAACUGAGGGGGGCUGCUCCUAGUACGAGAGGACCGGAGUGGACGCAUCACUGGUGUUCGGGUUGUCAUGCCAAUGGCACUGCCCGGUAGCUAAAUGCGGAAGAGAUAAGUGCUGAAAGCAUCUAAGCACGAAACUUGCCCCGAGAUGAGUUCUCCCUGAC